rnacentral:rRNA from 1 species
UACGUAGGGGGCGAGCGUUGUCCGGAAUCAUUGGGCGUAAAGCGCGUGUAGGCGGCUCGGUAAGUCCGCUCUGAAAGUCCAAGGCUCAACCUUGGGAUGCGGGUGGAUACUGCCGGGCUCGAGUCCGGAAGAGGCGAGUGGAAUUCCUGGUGUAGCGGUGAAAUGCGUAGAUAUCGGGAGGAACACCAGUGGCGAAGGCGGCUACCUGGCCCACUCUUGACGCUGAGGCGCGAAAGCUAGGGGAGCAAACGGG